UACGAAGGGGGCUAGCGUUGCUCGGAAUCACUGGGCGUAAAGCGCACGUAGGCGGCUUUCUAAGUCAGGGGUGAAAUCCUGGAGCUCAACUCCAGAACUGCCUUUGAUACUGGCGAUCUCGAGUCCGGGAGAGGUGAGUGGAACUGCGAGUGUAGAGGUGAAAUUCGUAGAUAUUCGCAAGAACACCAGUGGCGAAGGCGGCUCACUGGCCCGGUACUGACGCUGAGGUGCGAAAGCGUGGGGAGCAAACAG
rnacentral:rRNA from 1 species